rnacentral:rRNA from 1 species
UACGGAGGGUGCAAGCGUUAUCCGGAUUUACUGGGUUUAAAGGGUGCGUAGGUGGGUCUGUAAGUCAGUGGUGAAAUCUCCGAGCUUAACUCGGAAACUGCCAUUGAUACUAUAGGUCUUGAAUUAUCUGGAGGUAAGCGGAAUAUGUCAUGUAGCGGUGAAAUGCUUAGAUAAGACAUAGAACACCAAUUGCGAAGGCAGCUUACUACGGAUCGAUUGACACUGAGGCACGAAAGCGUGGGGAUCAAACAGG